rnacentral:rRNA from 1 species
CGGACGGGUGAGUAAUGUCUGGGAAACUGCCCGAUGGAGGGGGAUAACUACUGGAAACGGUAGCUAAUACCGCAUAACGUCGCAAGACCAAAGGAGGGGACCUUAGGGCCUCUUGCCAUCGGAUGUGCCCAGAUGGGAUUAGCUAGUAGGUGGGGUAACGGCUCACCUAGGCGACGAUCCCUAGCUGGUCUGAGAGGAUGACCAGCCACACUGGAACUGAGACACGGUCCAG